CUCAGAUGUGUGACCCUCCCCUCUGCCCGUUGCCUUUGUCACCCAGCCCCACCGGGCACCAGAUUGUUUGUCCCAUCAAGUAGAGCCCUAAACAGAAGACAAAAACAGUGCCACAAGGAAAUGCUAAGCCCCUUCUCUGUCUUCCAGGUUGUCCGAAGCCAGUGAUUAAACCUAUCUGUUGUCCGAAGCCAGUGAUUGAACCUAUCUGUUGUCCGCAACCAGUGACUGAACCUAUCUGUUGUCCGCAGCCAGUGAUUGAACCUGUCUGUUGUCCGAAGCCAGUGCCUGAACCUGUCUGUUGUCCGGAGCCAGUGAUUGAUGCUAACUGUUGUCCGCAGCCAGUGAUUGAUCCUAACUGCCCGUGUUCGAUGCCAUUAAGUCCUGUGACCGAAUGCACAGCAGUCAUCACAGACCCAGCACAAAUGUGAGGCAUAGACUGGUUUAGAGGAGGUGGAGGAAGAAGAAGAAAAGCCCGUAAAUCUAUGAAGAAAUCCAAGUCUGAGAAGAAAGAUCAAUCUGAGGAGGACUGAGACAAGAAAUUAUUUACUCUCAAGUGUGCCAGGGUUAGCAUGCUUAGCAGACAUAGAUGGCACAUGCUGCAGGAUAUAUAUUUAAUCUGUGUUGGCCUACUCUGUCCAGGCCUGGUCCUAAGAACUGGUGCUGAUCCAGUGAGUAGUGUCUCUUCACUCAAGAUCCUAUUUUGAGAUUUUAAAAAGUAAGGGAGGCUGCAGAACUGUCUCAGCAGUUAAGAGCACUAGCUACUCUUGCAGGAGACCUGAGUUCACUUCCCAGCACCCACAAGGUGGCUCACAACCUUUCAUAAUUGUACUCCAGGGGAUCCAACACCGUGUCCCGGCCUAAGAAUCUUCUUCUUAUGUAAACAUACGGUGUGUGUGUGAAAAGAAAACUCCAUGUCUGAAUCAGAAGUCUUCCAGAGAAACCCAGUGAGGGAUACAUCUGAUGUUAAUUAACAAACAGUUAAUACUUAAACCACUGAGCCAGUAGAGUGUAGUGGCUCAUGCCUAUAAUCUCACCACUCAGAAGGCUGAAGCAGGAAGAUGGCAAGUUUGAUGCCAACAUGGGCUACAUAGAGAGAUACCUAUGAUGAUGAUGAUGAUGAUGGUGAUGAUGGUGAUGAUAUAAAGAACAGGAGGACAGGGAGGAGUGGCAGACAUGGAGAGAAGACGACUGAAAUACACUGAACAUCAAAGGUUCACUCAAAGAUGGAGAGCUAAGGGUUGUGCUGAAGACUGUCAGUUUUGGACACAGAAGAAAGAUCUGGGGACAGACAUGAAGGAGUGAGUGCAGAGACAACUGCAAGAAGGGGCCAAGGGUCCUACAGAGCCAUCUUUCCAAGCUGGAGAGAAUAUGGCUUUGGGGUGAAGAGUUGGGGACAUAUUUUACAAAAUAGAAGUCAUUGCUAACCUUGACAGGAUAACGGGGGAAGGUUAAGGAAACGGUGACUUUGCAAACGCAAAGAAGAGGGUGCAUUCUGGGUCACAUGGCAGAGCACAGAAGGGACACCACAAAGCAGCAUUCUGGGUGACAAAAUACUAUGCAAUGAAGAUACUUGAAUAGAAUAUUCAAAUAAAUAUGUAAAAAUAGCUUGUAGAAGGAAAAGGCAGAUAAGUGUAAAGAAAGGCCAAGGAAAGAAAGGCAGACAGACAGACAGACAGGAUGGAGGGGCCAGGAGAUAGCUCCAUCACUUAAGUGAGAAUUCUCAUUCUCAGCAAUUUAUUAUUAAACUGAAGACAUACAUCAGGAGCAGUGGUACAUGUCUGUGAUCCCAGCACUCAAGAGACUGGGCAGUGGUGGUGGAUUAAAGUGCUCCUUUAAUGCCAGCACUUGGGAGGCAGAGACAGGCAGAUCUCUGUGAGUUUGAGGCCAGCCUGGUCUACAGAGUGAGUGCCAGGACAGCUAGGGCCACACAGAGAAACCCUGUCUUGAAGCCCAGAGAGACAGAGAGAGAGAGAGAGAGAGAGAGAGAGAGAGAGAGAGAGAGAGAGAGAGAGAGAGAGAGAGAAAGAGAGAUAGAAAGAGAGAGAAAGAGGGAGAAUGAAGCAAGAGGAUGUAAAUUUAAGUCUAACCUGAGCUACACAGCAAGACCUUAACCACCUACCCCCCCACAAAGAAAAAAACUAGAUCCAUGCAGAACCUAUUUAUUCCACUUUACAAUGCAAAUGCAAGAAAGACACCUGUGUGUUCCUGAAAGAACACACAUACAAGGGUUGUGAAAUGGUUAAUAAUAAAAAUAGGCACAGAUUUAAAUGUAGUGAGCAUCCGUUUCUACGUUUAUGUGACUGAGGAAAUUCCCAGAUUAGAGUAUUAAAUGAUACUUAACAAAGUUUUUAAAAGAUGACUCAUGUAAAUUAAAACAAAAAGUAAAGCUUAACAUGACAGGGAUGAAGUUUUUACUUACUGAAAACACGCCUAACUAAUGACAGCGGCUGCCUUGAAGAGCAGGGGGAGAGAUGGACCUGGGAUCCAUGUUCAAAGGCAGUUAGUUCUCUAUAACAUGUUUUUCUCAAAACAAAUGAGCUCCCUAGUAACUGUGACAAAUGUCCUAUAAUAGGUGGUGAGCAUCGGUACUUGGGCCAUUAGCUUGAAUGCAUUUUUUUUAUUUCUCAAAGCAAUAAAGGGGCAAAUAAAGCAAUCACACCCCAAGGAGGCAGUCCUAGAAUAACUGAGCUCCUGCAGAAGAUCCAAACUUCUGUGUUUCCAAGACAGAGGAGGGUCAAUUCCUCUUCAUUCACUAGUGAUAACAACAACCCUGCUGUGGUUUCCUCUGUCCCUCGUGAGAUUUGAAGGCAUCCCACUUCCAGAACUGAAGCCCUUUCCAGUCACAGGUGCAGUUCUCAGAUGCUGACAAACCCAGUGCCUCAAAGAGCCUGGAAUUCACAAGAAACAGGUUUCUAACCCAUAGCAAUACUGUCACAAAGCCCGAGAGAGCCUAAGUUCAGACUCCCAUCUGUGAACAAAAAGGCAUGGGCACACUCAGGAAAAUCACGUUCCCAUUUAACCAGGUGGCUUGGCAGGUGAAGGCUCUUGCUGCCAAGCCUGAAUAUCUGAAUUCCAUCCCAGGGCACACAUGGUGGAAAGAGAGAACCAGCUCUGACAAAUUGUCCUCUGAUGCUGGCAAGUGAGCAUCAAAUGACAAAUGACAGUGGCGGAUCAAGAAAACAGCUCAACUCAGCACAGCUUAAGACAUGGGGCAUUUCCUAACUUAGAGACCAGAUUGGGUGGGAGGGGAAUCAAGGACCUAUCUCUAGCCCUGGACCCUUCUUUCCAUGGCAUUCAGAGACAACGCCACCCUACUGAACCUCCCCUCUUAGUCAGCUUGCAAGACUCAUCUAGAGGUCACACAAAGGAACAGAUAUUUCUGUUUCAUCAAAAACUAUACUAACAGUUUUGUCUUUUUCAUUAAAGCAAAACCUAGACCACCUAUAUUAGUGAGACAAGACACAGUUCAUGUAGCAGUGCCUGUCUGUUGCACGGAUAGAAAACUUCCCAAAAAGCCACUAGUAUGCAGGGAUUCUUUGAAGAAGAGCAGAUGCCAUCUGAAGAGUGAGUGUGGGACUCCAACGAGGUGCGACUCCCCCACCAGGAACAGAUCUGUACUGCUAGAGUGCGAGCCCCGUGAAAGAGAAAGAAAGUGUUCAGGUGGCGUUCUAAAGAGACGCGAUUCCCAGACAGGAAUUCCAAGAAGACUGGAAUCUCAAGUAAGGUUUGCCACAGGACCCGAUAAUGAAAUUUCAUCUAAAGCCCAUUGUUGUGAGCCACCAGUUUGCAGAAAUCGGGAAUCCCUCAGGAAGAAUGAGGACGGCAUACUGAAGAAACAGGAUUCACAGAGGACAAGGCCUAAGAAAUGCCGACUAGAACCACAAGAAAGGUGUGUUGUUCUGCCUCCUUGCUAUCAGCCAGGGGCACCUCCGGCUCCACGUGGGCCAUAGGGGCUUCCACUGUGAUCUUCAGGAUCAAGCUGUGUCCCUGCCCUCACCCCGGUGGAACACAGUUACAAAAUCCAUUUCCUCUAUACAUCUUCGUUUUCUGCUAUUCAGAAGUUUGCCGUUAUUAGACUUCCCUGACACAAACUACAUCUUCCAAAUUUUUUCUGUAAGCCAAUACGUAUAUCUACUCCAACGAAGAAAGACAGUGUUCUCAGAAAUAAAAUGUCUUUACUAAAUACCUAAUUAGUUCUUUUGACAGUGUUCUAUCUCUAGCUCACCCAGUUGACCUUAUGACCUUGAUGGCUGCAAAUGCUUUAUGAUCCACCAAAAAAAAAAAAAAAUACAUAGGAAAUAAAGUCAGACCUCCCGCAACCAAGCAGUUUAUGACAGAAAUGGUGGCCAUGUAAGCACAAUCAUUUUUUUAAGAGUCAAUUUUAAAAUGUGUCCAAAAGUAGUUUAAGUGGUCUGGAAAGAGUUUAGAGAUAAGAGAGUCAGAAAUCAGUCGGUAGAGCUUGGGACUCUUAAUCCCAGGGUCGUGGGUUCGAGCCCCACGUUGGGCGCCAAAAUGUUAUCUUUUGUUUAAAAAGAAUAGAAAUGCUGAGGCAUGACACAUAUUGACUAUAAGUUUAUUAUAGGCCCGGCAGAGUAUGGAGACUAAGAGAAGAAGAACAGGAUAAUGGCUGACCACCAUGGCCGGUUGCCAUAGAGAGACAGAGAGAGAGCAUAGGUGGGAGACAGAGUAGAGAGAAAGCAGAGACAAAGCAGAGCGGGGGAACAGAGAGAGGAAACAGAGAGCGUAAAUGGGCAGGGACCUGUCUUUUAAAGGGGUCCUCUGCACCUGCGCGCAGACUUAGUUCCCAUGGAACCUUGGGCUGACCAGGGUACUGCCUGUUCCACCAGGUAAUAGGGGCAGGCCAGCAUAAUGCCUGAACCUUUCAGGCAUAGCCCUGUGAGUCUGAGGUCAGCCUGGUCUACACAGCAGUUCCAGGCCAGCCAGAUAUACAUGGUGAAAUUCUACCUCACUACUACUAAUAAUAAUAAAUUAAAAUAAAAAUUUGAAAGUUCUUAUCUCCAGCAAGAGACAUAACCCAACAGGGGGCUGUGAGGGGUCCUCUCCGUUUCUCAUGUCCUCUUGAUUGCUGUCCUCCUGUCCUGCCUCAGAAAGAGAGGAAGCAGUUGGCUGGUGGCUCAUGUGCAACGCUGCCUUCAGCCAAACCUGAGGCCAGGACCCUCCCAAGUCCUGUGACCUCCAUACAUCGUACACGCACACAGACACACUCACACACAUGUGCACACACACGUGCACACACACGUGCACACAGAGACGCGUGCGCAAGCGCGCACACCACACACGUGCACACACGCACAGACACCACACACACACACCACACACGUGCACACACGCGCACAGACACCACACACGUGCACAUGCACUUGCGCGCACACACGCACGCGCAUCCACACGCCACAAGCACGUACACAUACACACGUAUUGACACUCACCACACACGCACAACACACACACACACACACACACACACACACACUCCCCGCCAUUGCCUUCUGCUCAUUUCCCAUUCACGCCCACCCGCGCCCCCUCCGCACCGCCCC
rnacentral:lncRNA from 1 species